rnacentral:ncRNA from 1 species
AAGCCUUGAAAGACUAAACUUUUCUGUAAAUCCGUUUAGAACUGUCUAAAACUUUUUAGUCUUUUAAACAAACAAUGUAAAAGUCUUUUACAGAUAUGAUGUUGCCAUUAAGCCACAUCACUCUCUGGCUCUUUAAUAGCCUGGUGUCAGCAACUGAGGUAAUUCCAGCUCCAAUAGUGUAAAUUAAAGUUGUUGCAGUUAAAAUGCUAGUAGUUGUAUCUUAGGAGAGGGUGGGCAGUUUGCCAUGAGGUGAACAUUGCUUAUCCUGGCUUCUUGCUUCUGGUGCCCCCUCCAUGCCCUUAGCUGAGUGUCCCAUGGGGCUUGAAGCAUUUGCUCUGAAAAAAUCAGAGUGUUCAAAUAAGGCUCACUAUCAUAUCCAACAAUGGCAGCUGGUGUGCAAAACCCACUCCUGACCUCCUCACAGCAUCGCCUGCUUACAAUAGCCCUAUAGUCAAUUCUAUCCCAGAGUUGGUCCCUUAACUUUAAGAAAUUAGGGAAAAAUUUUCUCCAGUUUUUCCCUAAAGCCCAUGGAAAAAUUUCAUAUUUGGAUUCUUCUUCAUCUUCUUCAACUGUAUUAGCCAGAUACAGAGCAAUA